GCUUACGGCCAUACCACCUUAGGCACGCCCGAUCUCGUCUGAUCUCGGAAGCUAAGCAGGGUCGGGGCUGGUUAGUACUUGGAUGGGUGACCGCCUGGGAAUACCAGGUGCUGUAAACA
rnacentral:rRNA from 10 species